AUUGAACGCUGGCGGCAGGCCUAACACAUGCAAGUCGAGCGGAGCGGCGGACGGGUGAGUAAUGCCUAGGAAUCUGCCUGGUUGUGGGGGAUAACGUCCGGAAACGGGCGCUAAUACCGCAUACUAUCAGAUGAGCCUCGGUCGGAUUAGCUAGUUGGUGGGGUAAAGGCCUACCAAGGCGACGAUCCGUAACUUGUCUGAGAGGAUGAUCAGUCACACUGGAUCGGUGCCACGGUCCAGACACCUACGUGAGGAAGCAGUGGGGAAGAUUGUAAUAUGGGCGAAAACCUUGUCCAGCCAUGCGGCGUGUGUGAAGAAGGGCUUCGGAGUGUAUAGCACUUUAAGUUGGAAGGCGUUACCAACAGAAUAAGCACCGGCUAACUUCGUGUCAGCCGCCGCGGUAAUUC
rnacentral:rRNA from 1 species